rnacentral:rRNA from 1 species
GAAAGAUGGCCUCUAUUUAUAAGCUAUCGCUAGAGGAUGGGCCUGCGUCUGAUUAGCUAGUUGGUGGGGUAACGGCCUACCAAGGCGAUGAUCAGUAGCCGGUCUGAGAGGAUGAACGGCCACAUUGGGACUGAGACACGGCCCAGACUCCUACGGGAGGCAGCAGUGGGGAAUCUUCCGCAAUGGGCGAAAGCCUGACGGAGCAAUGCCGCGUGAGUGAUGAAGGAAUUCGUUCCGUAAAGCUCUUUUGUUUAUGACGAAUGUGCAGAUUGUGAAUAAUGAUCUGUAAUGACGGUAGUAAACGAAUAAGCCACGGCUAACUACGUGCCAGCAGCCGCGGUAAUACGUAGGUGGCGAGCGUUGUCCGGAAUUAUUGGGCGUAAAGAGCAUGUAGGCGGUUUUUUAAGUCUGGAGUGAAAAUGCGGGGCUCAACCCCGUAUGGCUCUGGAUACUGGAAGACUUGAGUGCAGGAGAGGAAAGGGGAAUUCCCAGUGUAGCGGUGAAAUGCGUAGAUAUUGGGAGGAACACCAGUGGCGAAGGCGCCUUUCUGGACUGUGUCUGACGCUGAGAUGCGAAAGCCAGGGUAGCGAACGGGAUUAGAUACCCCGGGUAGUCCUGGCCGUAAACGAUGGGUACUAGGUGUAGGAGGGUAUCGACCCCUUCUGUGCCGGAGUUAACGCAAUAAGUACCCCGCCUGGGGAGUAC